rnacentral:rRNA from 1 species
CCCCGGGAGGGGAGUGAAAGAGAACCUGAAACCCUGUGUCUACAAGCUGCGGAAGAGCGACUAACGCUCGACCGUGUACUUUUUGUAGAACGGUCCGGCGAGUUGCCGUUGCUGGCAGGUUAAGUACUUAAGGUACGGAGCCGAAGGGAAACCAAGUCUUAACAGGGCGGUAAGUCAGUAACGGCAGACCCGAAACCGGGUGACCUACCCAUGGCCAGGAUGAAGUCUGCGUAAAAGUGGAUGGAGGUCCGAACACACGUCUGUUGAAAAAGGCGGUGAUGAGCUGUGGGUAGCGGAGAAAUUCCAAUCGAACUCGGAGAUAGCUGGUUCUCCCCGAAAUAGCUUUAGGGCUAGCCUCGGUAUAGUCUAAUGGAGGUAGAGCACUGAAUCGCUGCGGGGGCGUCAAAGUCUACCAAUGCGUAUCAAACUCCGAAUGCCAUAUAGAUGUUUACCGGGAGUCAGACUGUAUGAGAUAAGUCGGACAGUCAAAAGGGAAACAGCCCAGACCAUCUGCUAAGGUCCCAAAGUGUAUGUUAAGUGGUAAAGGAUGUGGGGUUUCGAAGACAACUAGGAUGUUGGCUCAGAAGCAGCCAUUCAUUCAAAGAGUGCGUAAUAGCUCACUAGUCGAGAGGUCCUGCGCCGAAAAUGUCCGGGGCUGAAACAUAACACCGAAGCAAUGGAAUAUACCGUAAGGUAUGUUGGUAGGGGAGCAUUGAUAACACGAAGAAGCGGUACCGUAAGGAGCCGUGGAGGGUUAUCAAGAGAGAAUGCCGGAAUGAGUAGCGAGAUGAAGGUGAGAAUCCUUCAGGCCGUAUAUCCAAGGUUUCCAGGGUAAAGCUGAUCUUCCCUGGGGAAGUCGGGACCUAAGCUCAGGCUGAGAAGCGUAGGCGAUGGACAACUGGUUGAUAUUCCAGUACCUCUGGCUAUCAGAAAUGUGGGGACACGGAGAUUCAGGGAGUGCCUGUAAAGGAUUCAGGUGCAAGCAUGGUUUAUGCCGGGCAGGCAAAUCCGCCCGGGUAAGUGGACUGUGUGAUGCGGACCGAAAUAUAAGUAGGGAAGCUCCUGGGAGAGCCGUCGAGAAAAGCCGCUAUUGUGCAGCCAGAGCCCGUACCGUAAACCGACACAGGUGGAUGGGGAGAGUAUCCCAAGGCCGGCGGGAGAAGCAUUGUUAAGGAACUCGGCAAAAUGGCCCCGUAAGUUCGCGAUAAGGGGUGCCUGUAGAGAUACAGGCCGCAGAGAAUAGGCUCAAGCAACUGUUUAGCAAAAACACAGGUCUAUGCGAAACCGUAAGGUGAUGUAUAUGGGCUGACGCCUGCCCGGUGCUGGAAGGUUACGGGGAGUGCUUAGGAGUAAUCCGAAGGUACGAACUUAAGCCCCAGUAAACGGCGGCCGUAACUAUAACGGUCCUAAGGUAGCGAAAUUCCUUGUCGGGUAAGUUCCGACCCGCACGAAAGGCGUAAUGAUUUG